GACGUAGGGGGCGAGCGUUGUCCGGAAUCACUGGGCGUAAAGAGCACGUAGGCGGGAUAUUAAGUCAGGUGUGAAAGACCGUGGCUCAACCACGGGGUUGCAUUUGAAACUGAUAUUCUUGAGGGCAGGAGAGGACAGUAGAAUUCCUGGUGUAGCGGUGAAAUGCGUAGAAAUCAGGAGGAAUACCGGUGGCGAAGGCGACUGUCUGGACUGACCCUGACGCUGAGGUGCGAAAGCGUGGGUAGCAAACAGGAUUAGAUACCCUGGUAGUCCACGCCGUAAACUAUGGAUACUAGGUGUAGGAGGUAUCGACCCCUUCUGUGCCGCAGCAAACGCAAUAAGUAUCCCGCCUGGGGAGUACGAUCGCAAGGUUGAAACUCAAAGGAAUUGACGGGGGCCCGCACAAGCGGUGGAGCAUGUGGUUUAAUUCGAUGCAACGCGAAGAACCUUACCAGGUCUUGACAUCUGUGGAACCUUUACGAAAGUAGAGGGUGCCUUUUAGGAGCCACAAGACAGGUGGUGCAUGGUU
rnacentral:rRNA from 1 species